rnacentral:rRNA from 1 species
GUCCAGACUCCUACGGGAGGCAGCAGUGAGGAAUAUUGGUCAAUGGGCGGGAGCCUGAACCAGCCAAGCCGCGUGAGGGAAGAAGGUACAGCGUAUCGUAAACCUCUUUUGUCAGGGAACAAAGGCGGGGACUAGUCCCCGGAUGAGGGUACCUGAAGAAAAAGCAUCGGCUAACUCCGUGCCAGCAGCCGCGGUAAUACGGAGGAUGCGAGCGUUAUCCGGAUUUAUUGGGUUUAAAGGGUGCGUAGGCGGUCGGAUAAGUUAGAGGUGAAAUCCCGAGGCUCAACUUCGGAAUUGCCUCUGAUACUGUUCGGCUAGAGAGUAGUUGCGGUAGGCGGAAUGUAUGGUGUAGCGGUGAAAUGCUUAGAGAUCAUACAGAACACCGAUUGCGAAGGCAGCUUACCAAGCUACUUCUGACGUUGAGGCACGAAAGCGUGGGGAGCAAACAGGAUUAGAUACCCGCGUACA